AUUGAACGCUGGCGGCAUGCUUUACACAUGCAAGUCGAACGGCAGCGCGGGGCAACCUGGCGGCGAGUGGCGAACGGGGGAGUAAUAUAUCGGAACGUACCCAGAAGUGGGGGAUAACGUAGCGAAAGUUACGCUAAUACCGCAUACGAUCUACGGAUGAAAGUAGGGGACCGCAAGGCCUUAUGCUUUUGGAGCGGCCGAUAUCUGAUUAGCUAGUUGGUGAGGUAAAGGCUCACCAAGGCGACGAUCAGUAGCUGGUCUGAGAGGACGACCAGCCACACUGGAACUGAGACACGGUCCAGACUCCUACGGGAGGCAGCAGUGGGGAAUUUUGGACAAUGGGCGCAAGCCUGAUCCAGCAAUGCCGCGUGAGUGAAGAAGGCCUUCGGGUUGUAAAGCUCUUUUGUCAGGGAAGAAACGGUAGAGGCUAAUAUCCUUUGCUAAUGACGGUACCUGAAGAAUAAGCACCGGCUAACUACGUG
rnacentral:rRNA from 1 species